GACGAACGCUGGCGGCGUGCUUAACACAUGCAAGUCGAACGGAAAGGCCCUGCUUUUGUGGGGUGCUCGAGUGGCGAACGGGUGAGUAACACGUGAGUAACCUGCCCUUGACUUUGGGAUAACUUCAGGAAACUGGGGCUAAUACCGGAUAGGAGCUCCUGCUGCAUGGUGGGGGUUGGAAAGUUUCGGCGGUUGGGGCUGGACUCGCGGCUUAUCAGCUUGUUGGUGAGGUAGUGGCUUACCAAGGCUUUGACGGGUAGCCGGCCUGAGAGGGUGACCGGCCACAUUGGGACUGAGAUACGGCCCAGACUCCUACGGGAGGCAGCAGUGGGGAAUAUUGCACAAUGGGCGGAAGCCUGAUGCAGCAACGCCGCGUGCGGGAUGACGGCCUUCGGGUUGUAAACCGCUUUCGCCUGUGACGAAGCGUGAGUGACGGUAAUGGGUAAAGAAGCACCGGCUAACUACGUG
rnacentral:rRNA from 1 species